CUAAUUUCUCUGCUCCAGGCCUCACGCUCGAUCUCCCUCCCAAUUAAUCUCAUCUUCUCCUCCGGAGCGCCAGGCUUGCUUGCCCGAUCUGGCACCGUCCGCCGCCGCUGGGCCUCGCCUAGACCACGCGUCGCCGGCGCUGCCGGCUGUCCGCCCAAACGCCUCCCUCUCCUCUCCCGUUUCUCUCCUUCGCCCGCUGCCGUCGUCCGUCCGACCGGCCGCCGCGCCACGCGCGCCGCCGCACCGGUGCGUCGCCUGCCGAAGCAUGCUCUCACGCCGGCGACCUGCGCCGCCCCACCGCCGGCCCUCCUGGACGCCAUCUUCACCACCGUUCCUCCUAUCCGCCGUCGCACCGGUGCAUCGCCCGCCGGAGCAUGCUCUCAAGCCAGUGACCUGCGCCGCCCCACCGCCGGCCCUCCUCGACGCCACCUUCACCGCCGCUCCUCCUAUCUGCCGCCGCCCCACGCACGCCGUCACCACACACCUCUAGCCGGCGGCCUCUCCUUACGCGUGUGUCGCGGGUCGACGCCUGCCGCUCCUCUGUGGUCUCGCCUGAUAGCCCUGUCAGAUGCGGGGAGGAGGACGAGGUCGCCGCAGAGAGGUCGCCCCGCCUGCUACCGGAUCCGCUCAUGGACAUCGUGCCGCGCAUCGACGUCGGCACCAAGCAGUGCCUCCCGCUCCGAAUGCGUCAGGCAAACCGCUCUGAAUCGUGCAGUGAUAUUUUGAUCUAAUUGUUCCAGAGGUACGCAGUUGCUUUUCUCUGCUAAUAACAUCUUGGAGGUGGCAUGCCUUUGGUGAAGGAAUUGGAAGCUGGCGUUGGUUUUAUUAGAGGAUCCGUCCAGGUCAGACGUUCUUAUCACUAAAUAUGGUGAACGGGGGUCUGAAAUGGGAACUGUCAAUUACAGGCAUGCGUAUUGUUUGACAUUCUUCAGAAGUAGUGCUAGGCAUGCGUAUUGUUUGACAUUCUUCAAAAGUGCCAUUUCCUGUCAAGUUGAAUGAGAUGCUAUUGACAUCUACCAUCUGAAAAAAAGGAGAUUGGUUUGUGUUGUGCAAUUGGGUUGACUAGGCUUUUAUUAAUUUUACAUUCAGGAAGAUAUGCUCCUCCGCGUGAGCCACACCAAUCUCAAAGGCCUCUUCCACUGUCGGUCAGCUCUCCACCCCCAUCUCCGCUCACUGAUUUCCUUCACUUUCGAAAUUUCUGUGGAUUAUACUCUCCUGUGCAAUUGAUAGUGAGAAAUCGAAUGCGAGGUUUACUGAUGAUAAGCUUCAACUAUGUAGUGGUCUCUUGCAUGGCUUAUCGGAUUUCGUGUAAUUUGCAAAUAAUAAACUGACAAUACAGCAAAACUUACUGAAGACAUCUUUUCUUUCCAGUCAAAGGUACUUCAUCAUGCUUGCUACUAUAAGGAAGGAAGUGGAACCACGGUUCAUAAAUAAUAAGAUUUUUCUGUCUGUUUUUUAUUCACACUGUACUGCAACGGUUAUCUACUUGCAAUCAACCACUACAUCUAAUGCUUCCUAGAUCUGGAACGUCAAGUGAUGUGCAUCUAUUAAAUUUUCUCAAAGAAAAAAUGACUGUUAUAUGUCAGCUUGUCAGUUCAGACGAUCAGAGGAGCAUCUUCAUCUUAUCAUAUCUUUGCCUGUAGUGCCCAAUAUUGCUAUGUUAUGUGUAUAGUUGAAGAUGUAGCUGCACAGUGAUUUCUUAUGGCCUUCUCAAUUUCGUACCUGGAGUUUUAUUGCUUGGGAUGUGUAACCUACUCUGAACAUGUAACUCAAUCACACAUGUUUGGAGCAAAGCAUUUUUUUUUCAUGUCUAUGCACUUAGUUUGGUACAGUUUUGAGAUUUCAUGUCUAACUUACUUUCACAUUUUGUUGUAUAAUAUGGAUCCAGAGCCUAUGACCAAGUUUCUGUCUGUGUGUUACUUGACUAUCAAUCUGUGUGACGAAAUUGACUAA